rnacentral:lncRNA from 1 species
GUUUCUCUGAGUUCUAUGAGUUGCUCUAGCAAUUAACCAAGCAUGAGAAGAGGGUCAUGGGAACAAACCCCCAGUUUAUAGCCGAUUGACCAGAAGUAUAAGUGAAAACCCACUACGUAUGACUGGCAUCUGAAGUAGGGAUCAAUCUUGUGGGACUGACUGAGUCAUCACUUGUGGGAUUUGAUGCUAUCUCUGGAUAUAUAGUGUCAGAACUGAAUUGAAUUGGAAGACACCCACUUGGAGUCUAUGCAGAAUUGCUUGGUUGAUGUGUUUUUUCUCCUGAAAAGAAAACUCCGCACAUCUGAUGUCAGAAGUGUUAUGUUGAGUGGUGCUGCCUUUGAAGAACUCACAGACUGUUUGGGAGACACGCGCAUAAGCAAUUAACAGCAUUACAUCAUGAAAGUGUCAGAAUGGAAGAUGGAGAGUGGAAGCAAGUGCAACGGGCUGUGCUUGAAAGUGUCAGGCCAGCCUUGAUUCAGAAAUGCUUUGCCUGGAAGUCAAACUCUGGGUAUGGGACUUUGUAAGGACCAUCAGCGGAAGAAGUACCAACAGCCUUUUCUGAUCAUUGUACCUCCUUAGCAUUUAUGGCUCUAAAUUCUCAAUCUGAGCUGGAUUUUUGUGAGAUGGGAUCGUCUUUUAACCUGGCAAAGCAUAGUUUUCUGUGUGUAUGAGAAAAAGGAUUAUUUUAAGGGCAGUCCUGGCAUUAAACAGAGCCUGUCAAAUCAAAGACAGACAUGGAGGCAGAGACGCUGGUGGUUUGACCCUUGACUUAGAGUCAAAAAUACUUAGUUGAAGCCAGGAGAAAAUCAGGAUUACCAAUGGACUGGAAAUGAAUGUUGUCUGGACCCUGAUGGCGAACCUAAAGCCCUACAAAGUGUGGCCGCACCGUCCCCCCACCAACCCACAACAUUCAUCAUCCUCCUUGCUGUCAUAAACAUGUUAGCCACAAUUAUUUAUUGAGUACAUAUCAAUCACCAUGCAGCAUCAACAACAUGGCACUUGCAUGAAUGACCUCGUGUAACCUCCACACCUCAUGGGACGAGGACAUCCUCACCUCUCUGAUGUAGAUGUGGAAAUUGAGGUUGGCAGUUCAGCAACUUGUCCAUGGUCCCAUUUUCAUAAGUG